rnacentral:rRNA from 1 species
AUUGAACGCUGGCGGAAUGCUUUACACAUGCAAGUCGAGCGGCAGCGCGGUCUUCGGACUGGCGGCGAGCGGCGAACGGGUGAGUAAUACAUCGGAACAUGCCCAGUCGUGGGGGAUAACACUUCGAAAGAAGUGCUAAUACCGCAUACGUCCUGAGGGAGAAAGCGGGGGAUCGCAAGACCUCGCGCGAUUGGAGUGGCCGAUGUCAGAUUAGCUAGUUGGUGGGGUAAAGGCCUACCAAGGCAACGAUCUGUAGCUGGUCUGAGAGGAUGAUCAGCCACACUGGGACUGAGACACGGCCCAGGCUCCUACGGGAGGCAGCAGUGGGGAAUUUUGGACAAUGGGGGCAACCCUGAUCCAGCCAUUCCGCGUGAGUGAAGAAGGCCUUCGGGUUGUAAAGCUCUUUCGGCAGGAACGAAACGGCGAGCUCUAACAUAGCUCGCUAAUGACGGUACCUGAAGAAGAAGCACCGGCUAACUACGUGCCAGCCGCCGCCGUAACAC